GGCGAAUGCUGGGACAUAGCGCGCAGGGGUGGGCAGAGAUCCCACCUAGAAGCUGCUAUGACGGCGCUAAGAUGGAGCAGGGAAAUAAUAGGUGCAAGACCGGCAGCUGGUGAGCAGCAACCUGUAGGAGCCGGCGCGUUUGCGAGGGAUGCAUGGCCCAGGACGCUGCACCAAAAGCUGAACCCGUGGUGUGGACAGUCUCGCGUGUAUCUCUCAGCGGCGGAAUGGGCCAGCACCGGCACGAAUGAGUCAGCGUGGCAUGGAAUGGGUUGGAUGUGGAGCUGAAACUGUGGGGCCCACAGAAUUGGAGCACGAUGUGAGAGCGAAAAGAAAAAAAAGCUGUUUAAAAUCUAAAGCAGUUUUAUGUGAC